AACGAACGCUGGCGGCAGGCUUAACACAUGCAAGUCGAACGGGUGUAGCAAUACAACAGUGGCGCACGGGUGAGUAACGCGUGGGAAUAUGCCCUUUGGUACGGAACAACCUCGGGAAACUGAGGCUAAUACCGUAUAAUAUCUGCGGAUCAAAGAUUUAUCGCCAAAGGAUUAGCCCGCGUUGGAUUAGGUAGUUGGUGAGGUAACGGCUCACCAAGCCGACGAUCCAUAGCUGGUCUGAGAGGAUGAUCAGCCACACUGGGACUGAGGCACGGCCCAGGCUCCUACGGGAGGCAGCAGUGAGGAAUAUUGGACAAUGGAGGAAACUCUGAUCCAGCCAUGCCGCGUGAGUGAUGAAGGCCUUCGGGUUGUAAAGCUCUUUUACCCCUGACGAUAAUGACGGUAAGGGGAGAAAAAGCCACGGCUAACUUCGUGCCAGCCGCCGCGGUAA
rnacentral:rRNA from 1 species